rnacentral:rRNA from 1 species
AGUGAACGCUGGCGGCGUGCUUAACACAUGCAAGUCGAACGAGAACGGAAUAUAGCUUGCUAUAUUUGUCAGCUAAGUGGCGCACGGGUGAGUAAUGUAUAGAUAACCUGCCCUUAAGAAAGGAAUAACAGUUGGAAACGACUGCUAAUGCCCUAUAUGCCUUUAAUACAUAAGUAUGCAAGGGAAACGCUUUAGUGCUUAAGGAUGGGUCUGUAUGGAAUCAGCUUGUUGGUGAGGUAAUGGCUCACCAAGGCUAUGACACCUAGCUGGUUUGAGAGGAUGAUCAGUCACACUGGAACUGAGACACGGUCCAGACUCCUACGAGAGGCAGCAGUGGGGAAUAUUGCACAAUGGACGAAAGUCUGAUGCAGCAACGCCGCGUGGAGGAUGACACAUUUCGGUGCGUAAACUCCUUUUAUAUAGGAAGAUAAUGACGGUACUAUAUGAAUAAGCACCGGCUAACUCCGUGCCAGCCGCCGCAGUAA